GGCCUUCGGGAUAGCCAGAGGCUACGAGUGUAUAUCUGAAAAUUCUUCUCUCGUUACCAGGCCAAAGUCAUUCUAAAAGUACGAUAUGAGAAAUAAAAUCGAAUGCAGAGAAAACGAUUAAAGAUUGUAAUAUCCAAUGCUUUUACUUCGGUCAAUCCGUUAGUAGACCACUACGAUGUUUCGUAAGAACUUCCAUUUGGAGAAAGUUAUGAUCUCACGCUGCAGUGCACGCGUGGCUGGGUUCUAUUUUAUCAAGUUGUUCAACGCUUUCCGUGCUUCUUCCAAUUUCUUUAUCUGCUUAAUUCUUCAAUCUCGAUAUUAAAUACGCGUAUGAUCUUGAAGCAGAAAUGUUAUAAAUUUUUCAAGAAGCUGCAAAAUAUGGAAACCGGACACAUUUGGCAGAAAUUUUAUAUUUAAAUAACACGUUUAUCGAAUCUGAUAUGCAGUAAAAUACGCCAGUUUUAGGAACGUUAUCGAAUUUCGCAAGAGAUAACUUAAGAGAUUGUUACGCGAGUUUUAUCUGUUCGUUCGUUGAUCCAUAAUUCUUGAGAAUAUAAAAAUAUGAUUUAAUAAUCGAAUCUCUAACGAUGAAUAUAUUUAAAAUUGGAUAAUGAUUAUCGCAUUUAGAAGAAACGAUCCAUGAAUUUCUCCUUACACGUGUAAGAAUGAAAGUACAAAAGAUCCUAUAUAAGAGAGGAGUAAAAGAUCAAAACAAAAAAAAAAAAAAACAAAGAAAAAAAGAAAAGAAACCGUGGCACACUCACCUGCGAAACUGCCGGUUUAUUUUUGGCCCGCUCUCAUAUCGGACGUAACAGGAAGGCUGACCAGAAAGAUUUAACCUCGAUUCAACAAUAAUCCCCGACUUUCUAAAACUUAAUUUUCUUUAUUUUUUUUUUCCCUCCAUUGAAAGCUGGUAUAGCGACAAAAGCAACUGAGAACUCUAGUCUAGUUCAUUAUUAGAGAAUAGCUUAUCCAAGUUGCGAAGUCCAUCGUCACGUACCUAUAGCAAAUACGAGAGAAAAAAACAACCAAGAAAAGAAUUUUAGUUUUCAAUCUAAUAUCCCGAUAUAUUCGAAUUAUGGCUGUUCGACGACACUUGGACCGCUUAAUCGGUGUCAUUCUCAACGGAGGAUUCACGGCUCGAUACCAUACACGCGGUGCAGUCAAACAUAGGAAAUUUGAAAAGAAAAGAUGAUAUUAGAAACAUCGGAGAAUAUUUUGGCAUGGAAGAAUAGAACGAACAAAAGCGUUCGAACGACUAUCAUUUUUCCAUGGUAGUCAGAUACAACCUGUUGCUAAGAGGCCUGAGGAAAUUCGCACGCGAAACGGUGCGAAUCGGCAAGUAGUAGACUCGACUCAGACAAGCGCAAAGAACUGAGUAAGAAAAAACAUUGGCCGUAAAUGUGGAAUCGAGAAGAUUUUUCGAUUUUAAAUUGCAAUAUCUUAAGAAAAAGAAAAGAGAGGAAAGAGGAAUCACAAUACCGUUCGAGCCGAGAAAGAUGACGAUUGAAGAAAGAAAUGAAUAGCUGACUAGACAAGAAUGCAAACGCGGCAACAUUUGCCUCGACCUUGUCAGUCACGUUUACCGAGAAUCAACAGAAUUUUAUUUAUUUUAUUCAAAAGCAAUGAAUCCUAACAGUUAAGUCUUCAUAUUCAUCGCAAGAUCGUAUCGAAUAAUAUUUGGAUCAAUGGCGCGAGAAUGUGUUUUUUUAAUGGAAAAGAGAGAAGAGCAUACCUGUUGUUCGAGUUGAGGACACGGCCCGAACCGAUACGUGAAUUUUAAGUCCGCUACUGCUUGCUCCGUCUUACCAAGGGCACAUAGACUCGUAUCGAAAGAAGAGGAAAGAGAGGAGUCACACCUGGCGCGGUACAAGAUGAGAUCACUACCGCACUCACUGAUCAACUGGCCCCGCGCCCCACGUCUGGGGCCGCACGCACCUUUCGCGUUACCCCUUCCCCCUCGAACUCCGGAACCUGGAGCUCCUUGGCCCCCUCGGGGCCCCUUCGGCCCUCUUCCACCCUCCAGUCCCCUCCAUAUCCUCUUUACCUCUUCAGCUUCGUUUCGAAUGCCCAUUGGUCCGUUCAAAUCGACAUCGUGACGUCACCGAACCGAACUGCCGACAUAUAUACGAGAGGAACGAGUCUCUCUCUUUUCUUCUUUCCUCUCCUCUCCCCUCUCUUACUUUCUACACCGCUCCAUUCCGUUCCUUGCCGUGCUGUUCCCCUUCGUGGAUCCACUCUUUUCUCUUGUAUCUUCUCUCCCCUAUACUCUUCACUUGGUCUUCUUUCCCCGACUACCUGUCCUCCUACCUAUGUCCGUUUUCUAUCGUUCUCUUCUUCUCUGUCCCUCCCUCUCUCUUCCCUUCUUUGGUCGGUCUUCUCGUUUGGCCGGCUCUCUUGGAGCAUUACCGCGGCAUCCCUGUCCUUCUACCUGGUUGAUUCGUUCUUUAUCGCGUUGCCUCGUCUACCUUUUCCUCACGCCGGCAUCUCGUUCUCCUUGUUCUCGAACGCUCUUCUGGCUCUUGCUGCGAGUUCGCGAUCUUUCCACACGACGUCUCGUAUAUUCCCCUUUUGUUUCUUCCGUUUUAUAACCGUUGACCCGUAAACUUUUCUUUUUAUAUUCUCUCCUUAACGAUCUUUGCAGAUUUUUCAAAGAUAAAGUUUUGUUCAGGAUUACAUCGCCCUCUUCUUCUCUUCUUCUUCUUCUUCUUUUUCUUCUUUCCUGUCAAUAAGAAGCUCCAGUUUCUAUUUUCACUUCUUCUUUUCUAAUGCGAAAAGCUUUCUUUUCCCGUUAACAAUGGCUGUCGGUUACCUAUACAGCGCGUUGGUGACUUGCAAUGUUCGUAGGCAGCGCAGAUCCGUUAAGUCGAAUCGUGGUUCCUUUCCUCUUGGUCGGUCGCGGCUGUACCGGUCGCCAGCCAACGAGAUUGUCCGCAAGAGGUUUGCCGCGGUGGUUGCCGCCACCGCCACAGCCACCGCCAUCGCCACCGCCACCGCCAACGUCGUCGCCACAACGAAGCGAGAGUAGCCCGCCAGGUAUAUGGGGAGACAGAAAAAGGAAAAAAGGACGCAUUCCAACGACUAUAGUCGGUCCAUAACGAUUCCCAUACGUUGAGAGUGCGCAACGAACAACCAAUGACCCCUCUACCGAUCUCUCGCGCCUCCUCCUUUUCCCUCCUUCUCAGCCUUCUUUUUCUCUUCCCUUUCACAUCCUCUCCUUCUCCGUUUCUCAUCUUCCUCCUGUUCUCUCUUCUGCGUUUUGCACGAUUCCACGUGUCUCGUCUCGUCUUGUCCCUCUUUUUCUUUCUUCUGUCUUCUUUUUCUCUUCUCUUCUCUUCUCUCCUCUCUCACCGAUCGUUUCGCUCGCGUACCUGUCUACGUACGUUUACCUAUACAUACGUGCGCGUCGCGUACACCUCGCGCGAUCGAGGUGAAGGCUCGGCCUCGUAUGUACCUCUACGUAGCCGGUCUGUCCUCUCGUUUUUCGAAGAAUUCACGACGUCACCACAAUGAUCGCCGACGAGUCGAAUAUUUCUCGAAUACCCAAACUACCUUUUUCUUCUUCUUCUUCUUCUUCUUCUUCUUCUUCUUCUUCUCCUUCUUCUUCUUCUCCUUCUUCUCGCCCCUUCUCGAAUAUCCUCGUCGGGCUUCUCGGCUUUGCACCUCUCUUUGGCAACCAAACGAAUCCAAUCUUUGCUAUACUGACUUAACUUCCAUGGAUACACCUUGACUCUGAUUCUAAUUUUAAUUACAGAUAUAUAGGAGAAGAAGUCGAUUCGAUUUUCUUCAUUGCGUAUUCACCUGAGAAGAUUACUCGAUGAUCCUUGUCGAAUGUAUUAGCGACGGGACACGAAAAUUCGUGGGGAAGAAUACUCUUUGAUAGACCUUGCGUGGGAAUUUCAUGCGUGCCUCGACGAUAGCACUUUUUCUCGAUUCCUCGUCGAAUUUCGUAAUAAGAUAUUAUUCUUUUAUUUCGAAUACAUAAAUGCGAAUACAUGCGCGCACGCGUACAUACGUUAGAUUAUUAAACUUGAUGUUCUCAUCUGUCGAAUUCCUUCUCGAAUGAAUGAAGGAAUUAGUAAUCCGUUUCAGGAUGUGAUAUUCGUCUGAUAAUUGUCUGAUAAUUGUCUGAUAAUUGAACCAUGUUCUACAACAGAAAAAUUGCGAUUUAAAACGUCUACUCGUCGCCAUCCGCAUGCCUUGCUAAUUAGCGGUACGUGACACGAAAUGUAAAAUUGUAUAUUUUCAAAUUCGAGUUUAAAUUGCACAUUAAGCGUGGCGUGCCACGAAAACGAUGGCUAAUUCCAGCCAUAGCUCGAUACGUGUUAUUCGAAAUCAAUUCCUCUUUUUUUUUUUUUUCUUUUUUUUUUUUUUACGCUGCUGUUUAGUUAUAUCAAGGCCCCGUUGAAAGUAAUCUUAAGAAAUAAUUAAUUGGAGAAAAAAAAUUUCUCUUUUAACUUAAUUUCUUUCGAUGAAACGUUUUUUAUGUUCAAACGCAUUUAUGCACCCUAAAGAUACGCCUCUUUGAACGACGUAGAAUCGGUUCCGCUGUCUGAAAGUACGUCCUGGGAAGUUCCUCGACUACACGUGUCAUCCAUUUUCAGUUUGUGGGAAAGGCAGCGCCGUGACGGAAGGCAUGUGCACGAACAAGUGAUGUACAAUCGCAAUUUCAAUGUUGGUUCAACAAUAUAUCGAUCUUCGAAACGAUUAAUAUUUUGUGAUUCUCGAAAAUAAUUCAGUUAUAUCUCGUCAAAAUGGUUGGUUGCGCAUAUUAAAAACCGGAUCUUUAUACUCGCGGGUGUGGUUUCUUAAUUUACGUUCCGACUUCUCCGUUCAACAAGACCAAACGACGUUUUUAAGUCGUCGGUGAUUCAAAACGCGAAUUAGGGAGGGGAUAGUCUUUCUUUUUUCAAAAGUAAAUUCGUUCCCUAUUCCGUUAAAACAUCAAGAAACAAAGAACCGGCGAACUUUCGGACCCCAACUUAUUCUCGGAAUGUUAUUGCAACGUAAAGCCGUACGUGACGCUCACGUGAAUGAAAUUUUGCAUGCGUAUCGGUUUGCCCUGAGUGCCAGGACCUCGAAGGUCGAAUUCGAUAUCGGUUUGUGCGACUGGUAUUACAAAUUUACUCGGAGAAGAAUAUAUAUCUUUCCUUUUUUUCUUUAUCAAUUCGUACGUGUGCGAUGAAGAUCGAUGAGAAAAAUCGUGAUCAACUUUGGUUAAAUUACAUUUGAAUAUACAUCUGAAACAACGGGAAUAACGAAUAAGUUUUGCACGAUUUGCUUAAACGGAAAUGGAAAAUCUAAUUUAUCAUGAUUCCUCGCAAGGAAUUUCCUCGCUUGAUUCUGAACCUUAACCGUGGUCGGUCAAGGACGAUUUUUAUUGUUCGUUUCGAAGAAAGAUCCUUCGAAAGGAUCGGUACUGUUAUAUCCCUGUUCUGGUAACUCACCUGCGUCUGUCCAGGUACAAAGCUAAUUCAGUCCUGCGUACAAGCGUUGGCGUCACGAGCUGACGCCCUUCGACUUCCGCCGGAUGUACACCGUCCUUGCUCCGCACCGGCGUUCCUAUCGUUGUUCUUGCAUGCACCUGAUUUUUUUUUUAUCACUUAAACCAAUUAUUUCAAGAUCAAUCAUUUUAAGAUACAAUAAAAUAGACAAAGACUUUAAAUGAUUUCUUUUUAAUAGUAAUUCCCAACAUACGAGAGAUGUUACCAUGUGCAAAAAUUUCUCGCGAUGAGACACAUUUCGAAAACAAAAGAGAGGCAGCGAAAAUCGAGGUUCUCAUUCGCAUUCGUUACGAUUACGCGGAAGACUGUGAGACAAUUUAAAAUGCGAUGGUCACGCGCAACGAAAGCAAUUUGAAUAGCGCAAAGCCGUUAAUCGAUUAGGUGUACAGUUCACGAAAUUGUAGUUGUAACAAAGAAAAAAAGGAGAGGAGAGACAUCCUUUACGUUUACGAGAUGUCUCUGCAUUUGAUUCACUUUCGAUUAACCGUUUCUAUUUUGUUAUAAAACGACGCAAAAAAAAAAAAAAAAAAAAAUAAAUGUAAAACCAUCGAUUGAACCAAGAAUGAAAGCGUUUUUCCUUGAUUGGACAUGACAAGAUUUGUUCAACGGAAGCCGCCGUAAAACUUGGACCGUUGGCACGAAAGACGGCCGUUACCGGGAGAAGACUAUAGAAAUCGGUUCGCACCUGCCUGGCCCGGUAAAAAGAAAAACCUACCCAGAACCCCCGUGAGCCCCGAGGUCUAAAGUAAGUUUAUGGAUGUCUCGCCCCUUAUUCGUGACCGUCCCGGCACAGGUUUCGAGUUUGAGAGAUUUCCAACGCUCCCGCGUUUUCUUAUAGAGAUUGCUGCUUUUCUCCGUGCCGAUUUCCUUCACGAAUAUUUCGUAUUCUCGUGUUUCCUCGUGUAUGUGUUCAUUGGGUAAUACCAUCGUGUACUGUGCACAAAGUUUUUACGAAGCCUUAUCCGAUCGAAGCUUGCAGAUCAGAUCGGUAAAAUAUACGGUUGAAAUAUCGAAGGCGACGAAGUCGAUUUCAAAAAUUGCGUAUUCUUCGUUACGAAAUGGUGCUUGAAAUUUCUAUGAUAGUUUUCUAUAAUAAUAACGCAAAAUUCUGUCUUUUAGUUUUGCAGAAUCGUUCCAUUCGUUAUAUGUUUUACGCAAAAGCUGAAGAAACUUCUUGAAACCAUUUGUUUUCCCCAAUCUUUCUCCCCAAUCAACGUUUCCCGCCCCGGUAAACUUUUGACACUCUCAUACCGUAAACAUGUGUGGAAAUGUAUCCUCGAUGCGAUCGACGAGCCUUUUAAACCUGUUUCGUUGCAGAGGACACGAAAAAAGAGAUCGCGGAACAGAACGAAUAAACGUGUUGAUAGUUUCACGAGAGAAUUUAGUCUAACGUUUUCUAAGCGAUACCGUUUCACAUUUCCAUACGAUUAGGAAUCUGAAAGGCUAAUUCGCCAGGUUAACAGCUUCAUUCUGUUCAAGUUAACGAUCUUCGAAAAACUGUUGUACCCGAUCGGAUUCUACGAUACGAUUGAGUUGAUGUUUUCAUAUAAGGAACGAAGAGAAGAGAUAUUUUGUAUUAUAAUUAUUACAUUUGGUCGAAAAAAAAAAAGAAAAGAAUUUUAUUCGUUAAAAAUGAAUUCGAAGCGGAUUAAAAGUAUAUGGCGUUGUCGAGAAAUCGACAUUGCGAUUGCGGGUCUGGAAGUGUUGAAGUCUCCGAACGACAAGAUAAGUUAAGGAUGUUGAAGGGGACAAAAAGAAAUUUUUGAAGAGACUUGGAUAAUAUCGUCGGUUGAUAGUCCGAAUUAAAAAGAAUGGAAAAGAUCGAGAAGGGGAGAAUCUAAUUAUCUCGUCCGUACUGACGGCGAACGGAAAUGCCCAUACGUUUGAAGAAAAAUCGAGAUCGUUCCGAGUAGGAGAGUUCGCCAAAAAGUUUCGAGAGUAAAGAGAAGCUUCUGCCGAGAGAAUGACUCGAGGCAGAACACCGAUGAUGUCAUCGGUCGGCGGAUACUCGCGCCUACGCUUUUCUCUCUACCAGUUUCACUGGCAGGGAUACCGCGUGUGCUCGUUCUUGGAGCCACUCUACACGAAGACCCAACCUCCACUACCGAUUCCCCUUUUCGCUUCUCUUCUUAGCUGUACCUUUCGCUUCUCUUCUAUCCACUGGCUCGAGGUCUCUCUACACUUCGUAUCGUACGAGGACGAGGGGAGCGAUAUAACGUGCCGAGGACAUGCUCGAUUCUACCUUCAUGCCAGUCUACAUUGCCGGUAUAUACCGGUUAUGCAGAUGGAGCUUGGUCUGGACCCCCUCGGCAAACCCUCCAACAGAAAAUCUCAUCUUAUUCUUCUUCAUCAUCAUCAUCAUCUUCUUCUUCUUCUUCUGUUCUUCUUCUUCUUCUUUCUCCUCUUCCUUCUUUUCCUCAUCAUCAUCGUCAUUAUCAUUAUCAUCGUCGUUAUCAUCAUAGUCAUCUUCAUCCUUCGUUGUCAUCCACUUCUUCUUUCCCCUUUCCUCGCAUCUUUUCUCUUCGUCUCUGUUCCCUCCUUGUUCGCCACUUAUAUGUUAAGCCGUCGUUGUACUUUCCGUCUCUAUCUCACGACAAGCAAUGUUGCCUUUGCCUUUACACACGAUCAUCCGGAUAUACCUACGCUCGUUCGUCCCUUUUUCUCGAUUUUUCUGCUUGCCCUUCGCUGUUUCGCUCCGUCUGAACUUCUUCGCAGCCGUUAAAACAGUUAAGGUACUAUGGUAUGAACGAAGAUUGCACAGCUUUCUCGAAGUUAUUUACAGACGGAUUUUUUCCCUCAAACAGGUAUUUCGCUUGAUAGCUGGUAAGCCAACUCCGAAGUUGAAAAUAAAGAAUUCCAAUCGAUCGAUCCGUCCCGUCCAAGAUCAACGUGAUUAAGGAAUUACGCGGUUAUUAAUCGAUCGUAAUUUUUCUCUUGUCAAUGCUCUUUUCUUUUCUUUUUAAUUUCAUCGCAUUUUAAAUUUGAAUUACUAUUUUUCAUCGAUAUUUCAACAAUUUUAACGAGGCAAAUAAUAAGCAGCAGAAAGAGUUAUUCCGUUGGCACUAUUUUCAGGUGCGACAGAUCCUUUUUGGGGAACACAAUAGCUUCGUUGAUCGCAAAUCAACUUCGCAGUUGAAAGAACUGCGAUUAAAUCGCCGCCAUCUACGAUCACCCGUACCUGUUUGCGGUACCUCGUUAAAAUCGACACGACUGUUCCAAUCUUCUUCUUUCGAACCUAUUACUUUUCAAAUAUUCCUUCGAAAGAAAUCGUAAUUGGACGAGAUAAGUAAGAAACGUCUAUAGUUAAAAAAGUACAUUUCUACAACUCAUUAUAUCGUAUCGCUAUGAAACGAUCGUGUUGAAAAUUUCGUAUCGAUUCGAAAGAAAUACAAAAAGAUAUUGUCGAUAAUCAUAAUAUGGAAAAUAUGUUUUCUUAACAUAUUAAUGAGACAAAUUUUUUCGCGAACCAUCGAGUAUCGAUAAGCGUCUCCUUUAACAAACUAGGUCCUGGGACGACAUUAUAGCACGCUAUAAUGUCACGAAGAUCGUAAUUAUUCGAUGUAACAGAUCCCUUUUAAGUAGUUGCGGAUAAUUCAUUGCUUUCGAUUUGACCGACGCAAAAGUCAAGCUGAAUUAUCACGACGAGCGACAACGUUACCAGUCCUCCAUUUCGUAACCUCUCAAGUGACUAAGAGCAUUUACAUCGAUAACAAUAUCUAUGAGAACUUUCAAGUAGUUAUAUCACGCGUAUAAUUCGAGUUUUUUUUGUUUCUUUUUGCGAAUAUAUAUCUAUCACGAAUUAAAUUACGAAAAAUAUUUUAGACGAUACUUGGACGUCGAUCGUUGGGAGAAUCAAGCGGAGAAUCAAGGAAAAACCGGUUGAAAAAAUAAGAAAAAGAUUUCGAUAAAGAGAAAGAAUUAAAAAAUUAAAAACUGAUGCCUCGCAUGUGUGAAGUUUAUUUGUUGAUAUUAAGAACGUGAGUUAUUGUGCAAAUAAUUGCCGCGGCUGUCUACACUUGUCACGGUUGCUUACAAAGUAAGGCGUGCUGCUCGCGACGAUUACGUCUUUGCAAACAAGAGGAAAGAAAGAGGAUAACGAUGCAUCUUUUCACCGAAAUUCGAAGAAAACUUUGAAUAGCUAGUAACGUGUAUCUCCCGCCGCAAAACAAAGUUACGUCAUCUUUCAGCUAUAUUAACAAGUUAAAAAGUUUUUCUUGUUUCGCAAAUUAUAUAGUUUAGGUUAUUUUAUAUUUUA